CAGUAGCCGCGGGAAUACGAAGGGGGCUAGCGUUGUUCGGAAUUACUGGGCGUAAAGCGCACGUAGGCGGAUUUUUAAGUCAGGGGUGAAAUCCCGAGGCUCAACCUCGGAACUGCCUUUGAUACUGUUAGUCUUGAGUUCGAGAGAGGUGAGUGGAACUGCGAGUGUAGAGGUGAAAUUCGUAGAUAUUCGCAAGAACACCAGUGGCGAAGGCGGCUCACUGGCUCGAAAACUGACGCUGAGGCACGAAAGCGUGGGGAGCAAACAGGAUUAGAUACCCCGGUAGUCCCUGUCUCUUAUA
rnacentral:rRNA from 1 species